UGUGAACAUAAUUUUAUCGUGUAUGUAAUAAUUUACAAUAACACUUUUAACAUAAAAUUUAAGUAUUAAAAGUGUAAAAUGCGUGAUUUUGUAUCAAAAAUGUAUUAUUGACUGAAGCACGUCAUUAUUUUCCAUCUGUGAGCCUCUGACGGUCUGAUAGCUUUUGACUACGUCACAUAGUAACCGGUGUUAUGAUGACGUUUUUG
rnacentral:lncRNA from 1 species